CUGGUUGAUCCUGCCAGUGGUCAUAUGCUUGUCUCAAAGAUUAAGCCAUGCAUGUCUAAGCAGAAGCCGAAAACGGUGAAGCCGCGAAUAGCUCAUUACAACAGCCUUAGUUUCUUGGAUCUUCAACAGUUACUUGGAUAACUGUGGUAAUUCUAGAGCUAAUACACGCAUGAAAGUCCCAGCCGAGAGGCGGGGAUGCAUUUAUUAGUACAAAACCAAUCGAACGCCUUUGGACGUUCGUUUUUGGUGAAUCUGAAUAGCUCUGCUGAUCGCACGGUCUUCGCGCCGGCGACGUAUCUUUCAAGUGUCUGGCUUAUCAACUUUCGAUGGUAGUUUACACGACUACCAUGGUUGUAACGGGUAACGGAGAAUAAGGGUUCGACUCCGGAGAGGGAGCCUGAGAAACGGCUACCACAUCCAAGGAAGGCAGCAGGCGCGCAAAUUACCCACUCUCAGCUCGAGGAGGUAGUGACGAAAAAUAACGAGGCGGUCGUUUCUGACGGUCGUCAUCGGAAUGGGUACAAUAUAAAUCCUUUAACGAGGAUCUACUGGAGGGCAAGUCUGGUGCCAGCAGCCGCGGUAAUUCCAGCUCCAGAAGUUUAUGCCAAUAUUGCUGCGGUUAAAAAGCUCGUAGCUGGAUCUGCAGUUUUGGGCGUCGGUUCUCCGCAGGGGAUACUGACGACCCUGGCUCGAAUUGCCAGUCCGUUGUCGAUGCUCUUCGCUGAGCGUCGGCGAUUGCUGGCGCGUUUACUUUGAAAAAAUUAGAGUGCUUAAAGCAAGCGAACGCUUGGAUAGUUGUGCAUGGAAUAAUGGAAUAGGACCGCUGUUCUAUUUUGUUGGUUUUCGGAGCGGUGGUAAUGAUUAAGAGGAACAGACGGGGGCAUUCGUAUUGCGACGUUAGAGGUGAAAUUCUUGGAUCGUCGCAAGACGGACUACUGCGAAAGCAUUUGCCAAGAAUGUUUUCAUUAAUCAAGAACGAAAGUUAGAGGUUCGAAGGCGAUCAGAUACCGCCCUAGUUCUAACCGUAAACGAUGUAAACUAGCGAUCCGCUGUCGUUGACGUUUUGACUCAGCGGGCAGCUUCCCGGAAACGAAAGUUUUCCUAUUCCGGGGGAAGUAUGGUUGCAAAGCUGAAACUUAAAGGAAUUGACGGAAGGGCACCACCAGAGGUGGAGCCUGCGGCUUAAUUUGACUCAACACGGGGAAACUCACCCGGCCCGGACACUGGAAGGAUUGACAGAUCGAAAGCUCUUUCUUGAUUCGGUGGAUGGUGGUGCAUGGCCGUUCUUAGUUGGUGGAGUGAUUUGUCUGGUUAAUUCCGUUAACGAACGAGACUCUGGCCUACUAAAUAGUGUGCAGAUC
rnacentral:rRNA from 1 species